UUAUAAUUGCCCACAUCAAAUCACAAUUUUAAUAUAUAAUCUAAUCUAAUAUUUGCUAUUGAUUUGCUUCGACUUAACUAUUGUGUUGUAAAAGGAAUAGUCCACAUUUAUAAAGUGCCCACGCCACCAUUGAAAAGUUAAUUUUGAAUCUAAAUUUGAUUUUAUUUGUAACAAUUUUGUAUUAGGCUAUUAAUUUGUUCAUGAUAGUUUGUAUCCCUUGCAUGCUGCGUUACUUACUAAUUAAUGUAUGUGACUUUUGAAAUGGAUAUUAAUGUAAGAUAUAUUUCGAACUUUACUUUUAUUUGAAUUUUUUUAUUUUAAUAUGCUUAACUUAAAAUCGAAAACAAAAAAAAAAUGUAUUAGUUAGAUCGGGGACCCUCGGGGAUCCCCUGUUAUUAUUCGGGGAGGGGAUUGAGAUUCUCUUAAAUAAUUUUGAUGGAGAUUGGGAGGAGACGGGGAUAGACGCAAAAUAUCGGGGAUGAGUACGGGGAGAUUGGUCCCCUCCCCUCCCCUCCCCAUUGCCAUCCAGACUAUUUUGAUGGUUGGAUAUGGGCAUUUCAAGUAGAAUUUUGUGAAAUAACAUAAAUACCAUUCAACAUUUUGCUACUUUCCACAUUCCAUCUACAGAAUAUCAAAUUAAGAAAAAAAGGCAUGUGUUUAUUGAAAAUAGAAACAAGGAUACUUCUAUCUCCAAAAUUUAGAGAAAUGAUCAUGUAAACCUUUAAGUUUUCAAUAAGGGACACUAAGACUCCCUUUUGAUUAUAAUACUUUCAAUUAAUAAUAAUUAAA
rnacentral:lncRNA from 1 species